rnacentral:rRNA from 1 species
UGGGGGAUAUUGGGCAAUGGGCGAAAGCCUGACCCAGCGACGCCGCGUGGGUGAUGAAGGCCUUCGGGUUGUAAAGCCCUGUCAUGCGGAAAGAACAGUCUCGUGGCUAAUAUCCACGGGAUUUGACGGUACCACAGGAGGAAGCACCGGCUAACUCCGUGCCAGCAGCCGCGGUAAUACGGAGGGUGCAAGCGUUGUUCGGAAUUAUUGGGCGUAAAGGGCGCGUAGGUGGUUGUGAAAGUCAGAUGUGAAAUACUUCGGCUCAACUGAAGAACUGCAUCUGAAACUUCAUAACUCGAGUACAGGAGAGGGAAACGGAAUUCCCGGUGUAGAGGUGAAAUUCGUAGAUAUCGGGAGGAACACCAGUGGCGAAGGCGGUUUCCUGGCCUGAUACUGACGCUGAGGCGCGAAAGCGUGGGGAGCAAACA